UAAACCUAAGUGUGUGUCUAUAAACGUUACUUUCUUCUCUCUUUUGAACCUGUUUAUACACAAGGACACGAUGGAGCAACUGAGGAGGAGCAUGUCUCAGGAGCACUGCAACAACGACAAGCCAACGCUUCACACUCGCUGCUGCUAAGCUUCUGGGAAAGCUGUGCCUGUGACACAGUGCAGCUCUGACUGAAAUGACUUGUUGUCCUCUUCUCUUUUAAUGGUGUUUAUGCUGCUGCUGAAUCAUCGAUCCAACAUUGAAUGAAUAUGUGUGAUAUGACUGAACUGCAAAGGAAGCCGGGGG